rnacentral:rRNA from 1 species
CAUCGUCAAUAUGUUUAAUAUAUAUAUAUAUUAUGAUGUAAAUUUUUAUUAAUUUAAUUAUUAAUUUAAAAUUUAUACAUAUAUAUAUUAUUUUAUUGUUUUACAUUGUCGGCGUGCACUUCUCCUCUAGUAGAACAUUGUAACCCGUUAGAUAUUAAUUUACGGCCUUAUUGGGUAGCCUUUGAUCGUUAAAACAUUAAAGACCAAUUUGUGUUUCCUAAUUAAUUGUCUGACGGUAUUCAUAUGAUAUUAAGUCGCAUAUAUUAUUUGCGUUUUCAUCCGUCGCAAGCGAGGCUAUUUAAUUAAUUGUUACGGACCUAGUGCCGUCUAUUAAUAAUAGCCAGCUGUUGGCUGUUACGGUAUUCUGAAACUGACUUUAUAUAUCGGUUAACAAUGCUACUGCUUUGGGUACUUUCAGGACCCGUCUUGAAACACGGACCAAGGAGUCUAACAUGUGCGCAAGUCAUUGGGAUUUUUUUAAAUUUUAAAAUUAAACCUAAAGGCGUAAUGAAAGUAAAGAUCGUCUUUAUGUCGAUUAAGGGAAGAUGAUUUAUAUUACGAUAUUUAUCCGCAUUCCCGGGGCGUCUCAUUUUUAUUUUAUA